UAGAGUUUGAUCAUGGCUCAGAUUGAACGCUGGCGGCAGGCCUAACACAUGCAAGUCGAGCGGAAACGAUGGAAGCUUGCUUCCAGGCGUCGAGCGGCGGACGGGUGAGUAACGCAUGGGAAUCUGCCCGAUAGUGGGGGAUAACCUGGGGAAACCCAGGCUAAUACCGCAUACGUCCUACGGGAGAAAGCAGGGGAUCUUCGGACCUUGCGCUAUCGGAUGAGCCCAUGUCGGAUUAGCUUGUUGGUGAGGUAAUGGCUCACCAAGGCGACGAUCCGUAGCUGGUCUGAGAGGAUGAUCAGCCACAUCGGGACUGAGACACGGCCCGAACUCCUACGGGAGGCAGCAGUGGGGAAUAUUGGACAAUGGGCGAAAGCCUGAUCCAGCCAUGCCGCGUGUGUGAAGAAGGCCCUCGGGUUGUAAAGCACUUUCAGUGGGGAAGAAAGCCUUGGGAUUAAUACUCCCGAGGAAGGACAUCACCCACAGAGAGACCG
rnacentral:rRNA from 1 species